GAUCGUGUGCCUGAUAUGGAUAAAAGAAACACCAUGAAUCUGCUUCUUCUUGGUGCUCUUUCUCUUCCUGGCACUGCCAUGCUUGUUCCUUAUGCUACCUUCUUCGCUCCCCCCGGGUUCGCCUUUUGCUCCCUUCUCUGUUUCACUUUAUACUUACUUGCUUGUAUGUUUGUGCUGUACAUGUUUCUUCUUUAAUUAGGCGUGUUGUCGCGAAAAAUUUAUACGGGGCAGGACCAAAAAAAACUUGUGUUCACCUUACUGGUUUUGUUUGGAAUUUAUUUGGUUAUCAAAACAUCAUAUAUGUUGAUUAUCGUAGCAUCAACUGGUACAUGAGUGUGUGGGUAUGAGGAUGAGGCCCUUUUAAAGCGUUGUUUGCUUUUCAUUAGAAUGUUAAUCAUCUAGUUAAGGAAGAGUAGAGUUGAUUGAGAAUAACAUCAGAGAGAAUCAAAUCAGAUGAUUCGGACAAAGCCUACUUGCUUCUACGUUUCAUUUAUUUGGAAGGAAUGAAGUUAUGUGGAAUAACAUCAGGGGGAAUAACUAAUCAAGUUAAUCUCUCAUUCCUAUUCCUCAUUUUCUCUAAUAAUCUUAUCACAGUGUAAUUGCAUUCUCAUUACUUUUCGCUUUUUCCUCUAACAUCUUCCCACUCACCUUCAUUCCAAUUUCCAACCAUAUGUAGCCAAGGCAGUUAAAAAAAAUACAUAGCAUAUUUGUAAGACACCAUGGACGUCUCACCCAAACUCGAGGCUUAGACUAAAUUUCAUAAUAGAUUCCCCUUGCGUGCAUUGGAACUGUAUCAAUGGACCCUGGCAAUGCUGCAAGCCGCAAUGACAGAGAGUAUAUGUAACGAGCUGCCUAGUUUGAAGUUAAUUGUUUGAUGCAACGCUUUGUGUGUGUUUUCACUUUCCUAAUGUGUCAUUGUUUCUAUUAACAUAUUAUGAAACCUUGGUUUAAGGAUAUACUUGGUUUUUUUAAAUCUUGCUAAUAUAUAGGCGAGUGUGAGUUGGUGGUUCGAGUUCUUCUGGUUCUAUAUAUCAUGAGUUAGGUUAUCAAUUGAUUUGCUGUUGUUUGUUUGGAUCAAGUCAUUAACAUUAACUGGAUGGAACAGAUCAGGAGGUGGUGGCGGUGGUACCAAUGCAAAGGACGCUCUUGGAAAUGAUGUAGUAGCAGCAGAGUGGCUAAAGACCCACGGACCUGGUGACAGAACGCUCACUCAGGGAUUAAAGGUUUGCCUCAUUCACAUGUGUCCAUAGAGUUAUAUUUCAUCAUCACGUAUCACCAAAUAGUGAUCAAAAAAUAAACCUACAUAACUUGAAAUGGAAUAUACUGUUAAAUUUAACUAUUAUUUGUGUACAUGUUUCUCACCUUUUUCCUUCUUCAUUAAUA
rnacentral:lncRNA from 1 species